CCUACGGGAGGCAGCAGUGAGGAAUAUUGGUCAAUGGGCUUACGCCUGAACCAGCCAAGUCGCGUGAGGGAAGAAUGCCCUAUGGGUUGUAAACCUCUUUUGUCAGGGAGCAACGCCGGCUACGUGUAGCCGGACGGAGAGGACCUGAAGAAAAAGCAUCGGCUAACUCCGUGCCAGCAGCCGCGGUAAUACGGAGGAUGCGAGCGUUAUCCGGAUUUAGUGGGUUUAAAGGGUGCGUAGGCGGAAUGCCAAGUCAGCGGUAAAAUCGCGGGGCUCAACCUCGCUCCGCCGUUGAAACUGGCGUUCUUGCGUGGGCGAGACGUAUGCGUAAUGCGUGGUGUAGCGGUGA
rnacentral:rRNA from 1 species